GGACUGCCUUUUGCAUAAUGAGCCUGCGAGUUGUGGUGUCUGGCAAGGUUAAGCAAACGCGAAGCCGUAGCGAAAGCGAGUCUGAAUAGGGCGCUUAGUCAGAUGCUGCAGACCCGAAACGAAGUGAUCUAUCCAUGAGCAAGUUGAAGCUAGUGUAAGAACUAGUGGAGGACUGAACCCAUAGGCGUUGAAAAGCCCCGGGAUGACUUGUGGAUAGGGGUGAAAGGCCAAUCAAACUUCGUGAUAGCUGGUUCUCUCCGAAAUAUAUUUAGGUAUAGCGUUGUGUCGUAAUAUAAGGGGGUAGAGCACUGAAUGGGCUAGGGCAUACACCAAUGUACCAAACCCUAUCAAACUCCGAAUACCUUAUAUGUAAUCACAGCAGUCAGGCGGCGAGUGAUAAAAUCCGUCGUCAAGAGGGAAACAACCCAGACUACCAGCUAAGGUCCCUAAAUCUUACUUAAGUGGAAAACGAUGUGAAGUUACUUAAACAACCAGGAGGUUGGCUUAGAAGCAGCCAUCCUUUAAAGAAAGCGUAAUAGCUCACUGGUCUAGUGAUUUUGCGCGGAAAAUAUAACGGGGCUAAAGUAAGUACCGAAGCUGUAGACUUGCACACAACUUAGAUUAUUUAAGUUUAGAAUAUGAGAAACUAAGUUAUAUGUUUAGUUAUAUUUUUACUGAUUUUUAUAGAGUAAAGAUAGAAAUAAAACUUAGUAAAAUCAGUAAAAAUAUUCUUAGACUAAAGUUAAGUAGUUUAAGUUGUGUGCAAGUGGUAGGAGAGCGUUCUAUUUGCGUCGAAGGUAUACCGGUAAGGAGUGCUGGAGCGAAUAGAAGUGAGCAUGCAGGCAUGAGUAGCGAUAAUUAAUGUGAGAAUCAUUAACGCCGUAAACCCAAGGUUUCCUACGCGAUGCUCGUCAUCGUAGGGUUAGUCGGGUCCUAAGUCGAGUCCGAAAGGGGUAGACGAUGGCAAAUUGGUUAAUAUUCCAAUACCAACAUUAGUGUGCGAUGGAAGGACGCUUAGGGCUAAGGGGGCUAGCGGAUGGAAGUGCUAGUCUAAGGUCGUAGGAGGUUAUACAGGCAAAUCCGUAUAACAAUACUCCGAGAACUGAAAGGCUUUUUGAAGUCUUCGGAUGGAUAGAAGAACCCCUGAUGCCGUCGAGCCAAGAAAAGUUUCUAAGUUUAGCUAAUGUUGCCCGUACCGUAAACCGACACAGGUGGGUGGGAUGAGUAUUCUAAGGCGCGUGGAAGAACUCUCUUUAAGGAACUCUGCAAAAUAGCACCGUAUCUUCGGUAUAAGGUGUGGUUAGCUUUGUAUUAGGAUUUACUCCGAAAGCAAGGAAACUUACAACAAAGAGUCCCUCCCGACUGUUUACCAAAAACACAGCACUCUGCUAACUCGUAAGAGGAUGUAUAGGGUGUGACGCCUGCCCGGUGCUCGAAGGUUAAUUGAUGGGGUUAGCAUUAGCGAAGCUCUUGAUCGAAGCCCGAGUAAACGGCGGCCGUAACUAUAACGGUCCUAAGGUAGCGAAAUUCCUUGUCGGUUAAAUACCGACCUGCAUGAAUGGCGUAACGAGAUGGGAGCUGUCUCAAAGAGGGAUCCAGUGAAAUUGUAGUGGAGGUGAAAAUUCCUCCUACCCGCGGCAAGACGGAAAGACCCCGUGGACCUUUACUACAGCUUGACACUGCUACUUGGAUAAGAAUGUGCAGGAUAGGUGGGAGGCUUUGAGUAUAUGACGCCAGUUGUAUAUGAGCCAUUGUUGAGAUACCACUCUUUCUUAUUUGGGUAGCUAACCAGCUUGAGUUAUCCUCAAGUGGGACAAUGUCUGGUGGGUAGUUUGACUGGGGCGGUCGCCUCCCAAAUAAUAACGGAGGCUUACAAAGGUUGGCUCAGAACGGUUGGAAAUCGUUCGUAGAGUAUAAAGGUAUAAGCCAGCUUAACUGCAAGACAUACAAGUCAAGCAGAGACGAAAGUCGGUCUUAGUGAUCCGGUGGUUCUGUGUGGAAGGGCCAUCGCUCAAAGGAUAAAAGGUACCCCGGGGAUAACAGGCUGAUCUCCCCCAAGAGCUCACAUCGACGGGGAGGUUUGGCACCUCGAUGUCGGCUCAUCGCAUCCUGGGGCUGGAGCAGGUCCCAAGGGUAUGGCUGUUCGCCAUUUAAAGCGGUACGCGAGCUGGGUUCAGAACGUCGUGAGACAGUUCGGUCCCUAUCUGCCGUGGGCGUAAGAAGAUUGAAGAGAUUUGACCCUAGUACGAGAGGACCGGGUUGAACAAACCACUGGUGUAGCUGUUGUUCUGCCAAGAGCAUCGCAGCGUAGCUAAGUUUGGAAAGGAUAAACGCUGAAAGCAUCUAAGCGUGAAGCCAACUCUAAGAUGAAUCUUCUCUAAGCUCUCUAGAAGACUACUAGUUUGAUAGGCUGGGUGUGUAAUGGAUGAAAGUCCUUUAGCUGACCAGUACUAAUAGAGCGUUUGGCUUAUCUUU
rnacentral:rRNA from 1 species